CACGUAGGCACCAAGCGUUGUCCGGAUUUAUUGGGCGUAAAGAGCUCGUAGGCGGUUCAGUAAGUCGGGUGUGAAAACUCUGGGCUCAACCCAGAGACGCCACCCGAUACUGCUGUGACUUGAGUACGGUAGGGGAGUGGGGAAUUCCUGGUGUAGCGGUGAAAUGCGUAGAUAUCUGGAGGAACACCGGUGGCGAAGGCGGCAUCCUGGACCGGCAUUGACGCUGAGGCGCGAAAGCCAGGGGAGCAAACGGG
rnacentral:rRNA from 1 species